rnacentral:rRNA from 1 species
UACGUAGGGUGCAAGCGUUGUCCGGAAUUAUUGGGCGUAAAGAGCUCGUAGGCGGCUUGUCACGUCGACUGUGAAAACCCGGGGCUCAACUCCGGGCCUGCAGUCGAUACGGGCUGGCUUGAGUGCGGUAGGGGAGAGUGGAAUUCCUGGUGUAGCGGUGAAAUGCGCAGAUAUCAGGAAGAACACCCGUGGCGAAAGCGGCUCUCUGGAACGGUACUGACGCUGAGACGCGAAAGCGUGGGGAGCGAACAGG